CAAGCGGUGGAGCAUGUGGUUUAAUUCGAUGCAACGCGAAGAACCUUACCUGGUCUUGACAUCCCAGGAAUCCUGCAGAGAUGCGGGAGUGCCUUCGGGAACCUGGAGACAGGUGCUGCAUGGCGUGUCGUCAGCUCGUGUCGUGAGAUGUUGGGUUAAGUCCCGCAACGAGCGCAACCCUUGCCCUUAGUUGCCAUCAUUUGGUUGGGAACUCUAAGGGGACCGCCGGUGACAAACCGGAGGAAGGUGGGGAUGACGUCAAGUCAUCAUGGCCCUUAUGACCAGGGCUACACACGUGCUACAAUGGUCGGUACAGAGGGUCGCCAACCCGCGAGGGGGAGCCAAUCCCAUAAAGCCGAUCAUAGUCCGGAUCGCAGUCUGCAACUCGACUGCGUGAAGUCGGAAUCGCUAGUAAUCGCGAAUCAGCCAUGUCGCGGUGAAUACGUUCCCGGGUCUU
rnacentral:rRNA from 1 species